GUGAGCUAGGCUGAUGCCACUGCCCUCCAGCCUGGGCAACAGAGCUAAACCCUGUCUCUAAAAGGAAAAGAAACAAACGAAAACAAGAAGAUGUGGCAUAAAUUCUCUACUGCUGACCUGUGAACUCCAGAAAGCAGAGAAACAAGUAGACACAAUUUUGGACAUGCCUGAAACCUCCAGGAGACCACAGAUGCACCCCAAAUGGUCCUGAAAAUCCAGAAAAAUCCCAUAUAAGUUUGUAUAUGGGAAUAUACUUUUUCCAGAGAAAUCUAUAAGUUUCAUCAGAUUUUCAAAGACAGCUGCUAUGUGAGAAGGAAUAUAAGCCCCUGCUGGACCAAUGAUGAUAGUGUGCAUUACCCAAGGAUUAUGACUGAUCUAACACUGGGAACCUGAGGCCUAUACAAUAAAGGUUUUCAGAAAACAUAAACAAAAAAAUAAAAGAACGACUGCUCUGAUAUAGGUGCUUUUAAACGCAGCCAUUCUUGUUCUCUGUUUUUGUUUUACCAUAUUAACUUUUAUUAUUUACCGAAUAUUCUUCUUUAAAUUUGUUCAUUUUUUAAUCUUAAAUGCCUAGUUUAGCCACAUCCUAAGCAAAAAGAAAUACAUUGUGAAAUCAAAAGUAUAUUGUGCUACUGGCAGUUUUUUUCCCCCAAUGCAUAUUAGAAGAAAUUUAUCUCUAUUAAAAUUUAAAGAUGUUUGUAUCAUUUCCAAAAUCACUCAGGAUAUGCACAGAGGUGGCUUUAUAGCACUUCAGCAAACGCUGUCUCAAAAUAUCCUAAAAUUCACAUCAGGCAUCCAUUUUAUAGAGAAGAACCUUAAGCCUGAGACAAUUAAUGUAACUUAUUAGAGAUUCUAAGCAAAUGUGGAAAAACUUUAAGUCAGGUAUUGGGCAAUGCCAUCCCUGCUAAUGACUCAGCCCUGCCACCUAUCUCAUUGCUAUGCAGACAGUUUAAAAAGAUUUUUUUUAAUGCUCUCACAUUUCCCCACUACCUCAUAAAGAGAACCAAAUAGACCAGAGUAAAAACUUAAUCGAUUUAAUACUCUGGUAGUGAUCCCAGCAACCGAGGAGGGGAAGUGGAGGGGGAAGCCAGUGAGUUUCUUUCUACUCAAAUUCCAUCUCAUUUUUAUUUUCUCUUAAUGUUUUUUUGAAUCCCAAGUUCCAAAACCUGUCCCCUAUUAUGCAGUGCAAACGAGAACAGAUGGGGAAAAGUUAUGUUGGAAAGGGCUUUGGAGGGCCACAGAGAAGAGAAAUAUGACUACUCAAUGUGUCACACACCAACUUGCAGCUGCCACCAGCCCUUCCACACGAUGAGCUGCGUGUGGCACCAGCCCGUGGUGCUCAGAGGGAGCAGGCUUACUGCAGGAAGGGAGUGCAAUUAGAGAACAUUCGCUUUGCUUGUGUUUCCUUGAAAAUAUGAAUAAAGAGUGUAGCAGCAGCACAGGCAACAAAAGAGAAAUAAAUCCAAAGGCUAGCCUGGAAAAUGGUUAACUGUUGACUCGUAGUUUCCCAAAUUUUAACCAAUAUUGGCUUUAUUUAGCUUUUUUAUAUUAAAAAAAAAUGCUUUAGCAUGUCUCAAAGUCACCAUUCAGGUCUUCUCUCUGUCUAGGAAUUAGUAUUCUUGAACAAUCACACUAGCUAACAUGCAUGAUGUGGCCUUCCAACAAGUAUUUUUCAGUAUUCACAGGGUGCUUGUGAGUUCACUAAAUAUUUCAAGUGUGAGGCAGCCGACCUGGUUUCAGAUUGCAACUCUGACUCUGCCCGAGACUACUGUGAUGCUUCGGGCAAGUGACCUAACUUCUCUGAGCCUGUGAUCCAUUAAGUAUAAAACAAAGUUCCUAUAACUUACCUUUGAUGGUCUCUGUCUUCAAGGUGAUGUAUACAAAUGCCUGACAUAAGUACAUUAUUCAAUAUAUGACAGAUAUUAUUACUAUGAUUAUCAGAAAGCACACAAAAUGUUCUCUCUUUUCUCUGAAUACAAGAUAAAGAUACUAAGAAUAAAUAUAAUAGCAUAUAUAUAAACAUAAAUACACACACACAUACACAUAUAUAUUUGGCUAAGAGUCCCUGAGCAUCUAUGUUGAAAGUAAUUAUAAGGUUCAUGUGGUUUAAAUUAUUUUAUUCCAAUAGUGAUUCAGGCCAUACAGAUAGUAUCUGUGAACAAAUCUUAAUCUUGUAACCUGUUGUGUUGUUGAGUCCCACAGGAACUUCCUCUGAAAUUGUGCCUGUCUUUGUACAGUGAGUAUGUAGAGAUUUUAUAUCAUAAAAUACUGUUUUUCUGCCUAGGGUAGUUGAAAAAUUACCCAGAUCAAAAUUUUUAGAGGAGCAUGUUAAGUUGCAGUUUCCUGGGCCCACCUCAGACUAUAUUUUCAGCAUCUCUAAGGUAUAGAGUUCAGAGAUCCGCAUUUUAUUUAAAAAUGACUGGUGAUUCUCAAGCACACUGACUUUCAAGCACUACUUCCUUAAGAAGUGGGGAUACUGAGUGAUUCCAGCUACCUUCCCUUUUCUACCAUACACACUCAGACCCAGAAAUGCAGCAGUUGUUAGCAAGACAAAGCUACUGGCAUCUGGCAGAUCUAGCUUCUCUUACCCACAACCUCUGUUCUCCUGUUUUACAUAGUGUUCAGUUAAGCCUGGACUAGUGCCACCUUCCUUGUCCACAGGAGACACUAAGUUGGCUUUAGUUUGUUCUAAGAGGGUGGCCAUAGAUUCCAGGAUGCCCAGCAUAAUUAUUAACAGCACUCUUUUUCAUCUCAAAAGUGUCCCAGUUUGGAUGGUAGAGUAUAUCACACCACUAGGCCUAGACGAAAUUUGCUUAGCACACAUAGGACAUGAGUAAGGACCAUCAAAAUUUCUAAGAUAUGUUCUUCACUAGUGUAGGGAAGCUAUACCUAAAUGCCAUUGGCAACAAGAAGAAGGUGCUUCGGGAAGUGAUGUAGGAAUGAUCAGAGAAAACUGUACUGUUUCAUAUUAUCCUAUACAUUGGCAUCAAGAAAAGCAGAGCAUGGAAAAACUAGGAAAUCUAGACUGGUUAAUAUAUCCUCUCUCACCAAGUAGCUGAGCAAAAAAUAAAGCAUGGAUCUUGGGACCACACGGAGUUAGAUGUUUUCCUCCUUUCUGCUUAGUAGUUAUAAUCUUGGGCAAGUUAUUCAAUAUCUCUAAAUCUCACUUUUCUUGUGUGUAAAAAAGAUAAUAAGACUUCCUUCAGUUGUGGAGAGUCAAUGAAAUGUGUGUAUGAACCACCUGACACCAGGGUUAGAUGCUCAGUAAUGGCAGUCCCACCAUUGUUCUGUCCAUCUUGGCCACUCUGCGCUUUAGUGUCACCAAAGUCACAUGACUUUUAAAACUAAGAGUUAUUACAAGAGGAGACAUGAGGACGCUGUGAAAUGGGAAUAGAUUCCUGGAUCUGAAGAGUUCUCUCUCCCUCCCAACCCCCCCCCCCCAAUCCCCAACUCAAAGUCAUAAAUACUGAUGAGUUUAUGGAAAAGAAAGUGAAGAGCUAAAGGGACAAGAAGUAACUGAAGACUGAUCAGGAGAGGCAUAAUUAUAGUCCUCGAUGAGGCUAAGAAAGAAAGAGGAAAGGAAAGGGGAAAGGAAAGGAGAGGAAAUGAAAGGAAAACAGGUGAUGAGCUGUGAUCUCUAGUCAACAAAACCCAACUAGAAUAUAACAUGAGAACUUCCGCAGGGGGUCCUGCUAGUAUUUUGAGGAAUGUAGGUGGGGUAAGAGUCCACCCUAUGGAAAUGAUACUACUGUUCAUCUAACUGUUAGCUCUCAGCCAUCUAGACUGCUGUUUGGGUGGGCGGAAUGGAGAAAUACUAUUCUGUUCAAACUAAGAGCUUUGAAGUGGAGACAAACACAAUCUGGUAGUAUUACAGAGUCAUUAUUCACCCUGAUGACUCACUCUCUGGCUCCCACACAGGAGAGGCAAGAAGUAACAUUAGUGACCUUGAAGAUGUUGGCCAAGUAUAGACCCAGCCUUAAGGCCUGAUUUUUCAAAUGAACGUGUGUGUCUGUGUGUGUGUGUUGGGGUGGGGGAGAAAGAGAGAGAAUAGGGGAAUGCAUGUUAAAGAGUAAGAAUAUAUGAUGAACAAUUCUACAAACCCAGUAUAAAAACUAUUAAUAUUUAAACAGCUAACUCAACUAAAUAACAAGUAUUUAUAAGGAAAUAAUCAUUGUGUGAGCGGGUCUCAGCUCAAAGCAUUGAUAAGGUAGUUCAAUGUGGGAACAUUUAAAGUAAUCAUUCUUAGGUAGGAGGUAAAUACAGAAUUCAGUCCCUAUUCCUGGGCUCAAAUUUAUCUCAUCAUUUCCAUUCAUCAUGACUCUUUUAUAAAUCCAGUUUGCUGAGAGUAAUGUUUUCUGUGUUCUUUAACCACACACUGUUCUAUGUUCGGAGCUCUACAGACAAAAUUCAAACAGAUGCAGUCCCCAGGUCUUUGACAACAUGCAAUGGGAAGCAGGCAAUAAUAAAAGAAUGCAUCAGAACCUACAGAUGUGCAGGCAGCUGCAUGAAUGGCAAACAGAGUCGUGGCCUCAGACCAGAUGGUCCCUAUGAUCUGGUGAAAAAUUAUCAACAUGGAACCCGGCCAGUUUCAGUCUUUAGAUCUGUGACUGGAGCCCACCCAGCUUGGCAAGUUAGCCAGAUGUGUUCAACAGAGUUCCACCUGAGACUUCGCCAGGAUACCAAGCACCUCUUUUCUUGCAUUUCAAGGUUGGAAGUCCAAGAUCAAGGUGCCAGCAUGGUUGGGUUCUGGUGAGGACUCUCUUCUUGGUUUGCAGACAGCCAUCUUGUCACCAUGUCCUCGCACAGGAGACAGAGAAAGAGACAGAGGGAGAGAGCACGCUCCAUACUGAUGACUUCAUCUAGACCUAAUUAUCUCCCAAAAGCCUUAUCUCCAGACACCAUCACUUUGGGGCUUAGGGGCUCAACAUGUGAAUUUGGGGUUGGGGGGAACACAAUUUAGCACUGGCCUAGCAAAAACAUCAGAUGUCUGCUACACAGCCAAAUGUAGUUUGCAUCUUAUUUAAGAGUUCCAAAGAUCACAGACUGAAAUAUAUAAUAGCUUCACUACCAGCUUGUUUAGUAACUUGGGAAACUUAACUUCACAAUUCUCGUUCUAGCAAAACAGAGUUUGUGAAACGUACUCCCUUCUUAUGUCACCAAAUGUAAGCUUCAGUAAAUUAACAAUAACCAAGAGCUAGAAAGGGUCUCAGAUCUCUUAAGGGAGUGAUUUUCAACCUUACCUUGGCUGCACAUUAAAAUCAGCUGGGACAAUGUUUAAAAAUGCACACAGCCAGAGAUCCUGAUUUAAUUGGUCUGGCGGGAAGAUCUUGGGCAUCAGUAUUUUUAAAAUGUUCCUCAGGUGGCUCUAAUGCAUAGAGAAUGUCAAAAUGCCGUGGUUUAGGGAUAGUUGGCUCUCACUCCACUUUCCUCCUGCAGAAAGUCCUUUUGUAUCUAUGGAGGGUAGCUGUCAGCUUCUGUUUUUUUUAAUGAUUACAGGGAGGGGAGUAGCUUAGUCUGCUCCAGCUACCAUAACAAAAUAUAGACUGAGUGGCUUAAAUAACAAAAAUUUAUUUUGUCACAGUUCUGGAGGCUGGAAAGCCCAAGGUCAAUGUUCCCACAGGGUUUGUUUCCUGGCUGAGGUUCUUUUCCUGGCUUGCAGACAGCUGCCUUCUCUCUGUGUCAUAGAGGCAGAGAGGGAGGAAAGGAGGUAAGAGAUGGUUCUCUGGUACCUCUUCCUAUAUGGACGCCAAUCCUAUUAGACCAGAGCUCUACCCUAUGAUCUCAUGUAAUCUUAAUCACCUCCAUAAAGGCUCUAUCUCCAUAUAUGGUCACUUUGGGGGUUAGGGCUUCAACACAUACAUUGGGGUGGUGAGGGGAACAACAUUCAGUCCAAAGCAGGGAAGUCACAGCUCAAUGGACUAUGGAGGGCCUUAAAUUGUUAGAAAGCUCUUCUUCAUAUUAAGCCCAAACUUCUCUUCCUACAUUCCACCUCUUUGUCUUACUUCUGUGGAAAAUGUUAAGAAAAUACUAAGAGACGUGGGAGGCGACUAAUACAGCUAACAAGUAUAUUGCUGGGUAUUUCCCACAUAUUAUCUCUCUCAAGCCUCAGGAGAAUACUGUGAAGGAGAUAUCACUCUCCCCAAUUUACAGAUCAGAAGACUGAUGCCAUAGAGGAUGAGUAAUCUGCCUAAAUUCAUAAGGCCAGAAAGUGGCAAAAUGAGAAUUCAAACCCCAGCCUUUCUGCCUCCUAAGCCCAUGUUCUUCCCACCAUCAUGCUGGGGAAAUCAUGUCUUCUACCCCAAACUCCUCAGAUGGAUGAGGGUAAAGUUGCCUCCCAGCUCUCCCUGCUGAGAACAUGCCUUGUCUACCCAAAUGCUGCUUCUGCUACUGCUUGUGUUUUGCUUUCUUUCUUCUUUCCCUUUCUCCCCUUUAUUUCAUUCUUUAAUUUUCUGCUCUUCACCCCAGCUUUGAUUUAUUUCUGUCACUUUAUAAUCUUAUUUUGCCUCAGUGUUUGUCCUGAAAUUGCUUUCAUUCUAUAAACUCUGGUACAGACCAAACAUUAGCAUGUGUAAGAAUCACACAGGCAGAUUCUGAUUCACUAGGUGAGGAGAGGCCCAAGACUUUGCACUUUAGACAAGCUCUCAGGUGGUGAUGUUGUGGCUGGUUGGUAGAUCACACCUGCAAUAUGCUAGUGCUGUGUAGACAAGCUCCUCAGACUUCCUAACAAGCUGACCUGUACAAAGUGUUUGUGCCUUUUUCCUUUCUCCUCUAGAGGGAAGAUCAGCUCGUACUUCCAGUACGUACAACGAUGACUGGCAGAUACAGAAAACGCUUUUUGAAGAUAAACUCUCCAGGUCAUGGGAGCAGACAUCUGAUUUGCAUAUAAUCUGAAUUUUUUUUUUCCUGCUUACUAUCCUUUCCUCCUUUUUCUGGAAUAGCUCUGCUUUUUUCAUUGGGGGAAGUGUGAUCAUAAUGUGUCUGCCAAUCAUACUGACCUAUUCCCGGCUUAUUCCACCACAGGUGUGGACAUGAAGGGCUCAUGAAGGGCAAGUCAGAAUCCUCUUAGAGAAUUGCCAGGAAUGCUGGGAGAAACAAGAUGGCCACCUUUUCCUUCAUAUAGAGGGCACUUUCCUGGCAAUGAAGCUAACACAGAGAAAAAUAAAACCUAAAGAUAGAGAGAGGGAGAAAGGGAGAGAAAAAGGAGGGAGGGAGUAAUCAAGAGAGAGAAGUUCUGAUAAUACUGCAUUCAGUUUUGCUGAAGCCCGUCUUUCCUUAGAGUGCCCAUGGCCGUGGUCAAUAAUGACUCUUUGGUUUAAGCUCAUUUGAGUUGAGUUUCUGCUCCUCACAACCACACUUUAGCAAUGGAAGGCACAAGAUGUGUCCAUCUUGUUCAACAUGGUGUCCCCAGUGUUGGCAUUCGAUACCUGUUCAGAAUGAACAGAGAGGGUUCUCACUAUACAAAUAUUUUUCUGGGUCUAAACAUUCACCAGAAUACCUCAGCUCUUCCUUGUAGCUGCAUAUGGAACUUCUUCACAAUCUGUCCUUUUUGGUUAUAGUGGAUACUGGGAAUAGAACAGCAGUUAAGAAUAUGGGCUCUGGGUUGGGUAGAAUUGGGUUCAAAUUGUGUCUUUGCAACCUGCUAUUAAGUUGUAAACUCUCUGAGGCUCAAUUUUUUCCACUUAUAAAAUGAGAACAAUAACAUUAUUUAUGAAGCAAUUACCACUUUUGCCUCCUCCAUUGCUCUUUCUCACUCUUUUUUUUCAUAACUGAACUUGUUGCACUGGCCCAGGGUGGCCAUUUGUCCCAGGCAAAGCCAAUGAUAGCACCCUUGUCCCAACCAGGUUGGAUUAACAACUCUGCUUGGAAUUCAAACUAUGAGUGAAAACCCACAGAGGUGGAAGGUCGUUUAAACAGUUAUCCAAUGAUGAUGGUGCACAGACUGAAGAAAGCACCAAGAGCUGACUGGAAUCAAACUGCUAUUGUUUCUGUCCUUCCUAACCCUGUCUUGCAGCUCUUCUGAUUUGUGAGCCAGCCCAGAGACCUUCCAAUAAAUCUUUUUUGUGUAGGAUACCAUCAGAGAGCCUUAAUGAAUCAAGCCAUGCUUUGAGAAUUAAAUAAGAUAAUACAUGUGAGGUAAUUAGCACAUUACUGGGGAUAAAAUAAACGCUUAAUAAAUGUUAGCUAGUAAUACUACAGUUUGACUUCCUACCUGAUGAAUUUUACACAGUUAAACAAAUACCUCCCUGUUGAUUACAAAGAAGUCGGCCAUAUGGAGUUGCUUGUGUAAGAAGCAGCCUGACUGCGAACUGCAGACUACACAUCGGUGUCCACUCUUAGCCUUAGUGAAGGUGAGAAUCAGAUGUAGAAAUUCUGAUUCAGUAUAUUGGGGUGGUGAGGCAGAGCUCAAGUUUGAAACCACCAAUUAUUUUCUCCAAUUAUGGUAUCUUAAUAUAUAUGGUAGCUUUCUUCUGAUUGGCAGAUAAGUGAAACUCCUAUUGUUUCUCAAUUUUGGGCUCUUUAGAAACAGACUGCUCAUUAGUUAAUUUCAUGUGUGUUACGAGUUUUAAAUCACCGCAGUAGGCUGCAAAAUGGCCCCCAGGCAUGUCAGGUCCUAAUCUUUGAAACCUUUAAAGUUUAACUUAUAAGGAUAAAGGGUUUUUGAAGAUGAGAUUAAAUUAAGGAUCUUAGAUGAGAUGAUCUGGCGUUAUCUGGGUGGGCUCUAAAUGUCAUCACAAGUGCCUUUAUGGGGGGAAGGAGUGGGUGAGGAAAAUUUCAUUCACACACAGAGAAGAAGAUGAUGUGAAGACAGAGUUAGAAUUGGGGUGACAUGGCCACAAGUCAAGAAAUGCUGGCAGCCACCAGAAACUGAAAGAGUCAGGGAUUAGAUUCUCCCCCUAGAGCCUCCAGAAGAAGCGUGGCCCUGCCAACACCUCGAUUUCUGCCUGGUGAAACUGACUGUGGAUUUCUGGCCUCCAGAACUGUGAGAGAAUAAAUUCAUGUUGUUUGAAGCCAUCAGGUUUGUGGCAAUUUGUUACU